AUAUGAAUCAGUAGCCAGUGAGCUGGGAUCUGGCCACACAGUAGGGCUAUUAUAGUAAAUUUGUAUUAGGUGGACUAACAUUGAACUAUUUUUCUCCAAGAUGAGCUUUGAGAUAUGGAAAAAGGAAGUUUAAUGUCCUGUUAAGUUUAUACAAUUGCACAGCAGCAGGUUUCGUUCUCUAGUUGUCAUCCUUGUGUAAUGGCGGCAGCUCAUUGAAGUUCGAUUCUAGUGAAGAAUGUAGUAUGCUCGUGUUGCUGGCAGCAUUUCGUUGUACAACAGUUGCUAUGAAGUCGAGUUUUCUCACUACAUGAUUGCAUUGUUUGAGCAGCCAUGGAAGCGAGGUAGGUUUUCUUUGCCAGAUCCCGGGCAUUUCAAACGAGACGAUUCAUGGCAGUUGUUCUGAGAUUCGGUGUCAGAACAAGAUGACUUCUGCAUCGGUUUGCAGCAUGUUUCUCCCUCGUUUACUCGUUCCUUGCAGUAGCAGCAUGCUGUUCAAGAUCACCGGCAAGAUUGGCCACACGAGCCUGAGAUAUAUAUAUGGCCAUUGAGAUCAUCGCAAACAUCCUUGGUGUGCCUUGCUCCCUCGUUGGAUGCAAUGCAGACAUGCAUAUAUCGGUCAGAGGAGAGGAAGAAGAUAAUCAAUCGCCCCGAAUGUUAUGUUUUCAAUCAGGUGUCGUAGCGCAUCCUGCCUGCUAAGUAAGCCAAUCUCCAAUGUCAUAAAUCUGUAUCGUCGCUUAUUAAAUUUACUUGGGGUUCAGCUACCGAAUAACAGUUGUAGUGAUGUAGAAGAUACCAGGAGGAAUCAUACCUUACUACUAAACAUCAAGAUUGAUCCAUCUUGAUCUUGCUCGCCCACUGGGGGUGUUGUGUAACUUCCUAUAUCCUACAUUGGAAGUGUGAUAAAAAUAUAGGGGCAUUGGCUCCUAUAAAUUAACCUAUUUGGGUCAUAUUUUAAAGCAUAACAAUAGAUCUUUUUUCUUUAAUAACCAGAGAGAGUGAAAUUGAGAUUUGGUGAGUUGUUGUGACGAGGGUCUUACAAUUUUGUCCGUGCAAAAGUUGUAAUAUAUAUUUUAGUAGAUUAUCAUGUUUUGGAAUUGUGGAUGUAGGUCUGUUGUGCGAGCGAACCAUGUUAAAUUUUCGUGUCUUGCUAUUUGUUUUUCUCUCUCUUCUCUUGUGUGUUUCCAACAAGUGGUAUCAGAGCGAUGUCAGUUUUUAGCGAGGUAUUGGCAAAGGGAGGAGAGAAGGAGCAAGAGGUGUUUCGAGAGAAGUUGACGUGGCACGCCAACAGUCUAGGUUGCAAUUCCGCAGCGGGUUUCAGAAACACACUAUAUUUAUGUAAGAAAGGUCGGCUCUGCCUGAUUUGAGUUCCUAGUUUUAUUUUUGAGCUUCAGUUUAUUUGGUUAUUGGAAAUACUUGUUUAUUGGAGAGUUAUUAAAAACUAUGUCCACUAUUUUGAAAUAUGAAGUUCAGCUCUUUAAUGAAAAUAG